rnacentral:rRNA from 1 species
UACGAAGGGGGCUAGCGUUGUUCGGAUUUACUGGGCGUAAAGCGCACGUAGGCGGAUCGAUCAGUCAGGGGUGAAAUCCCAGAGCUCAACUCUGGAACUGCCUUUGAUACUGUCGAUCUGGAGUAUGGAAGAGGUGAGUGGAAUUCCGAGUGUAGAGGUGAAAUUCGUAGAUAUUCGGAGGAACACCAGUCGCGAAGGCGGCUCACUGGUCCAUUACUGACGCUGAGGUGCGAAAGCGUGGGGAGCAAACAGG